GCAAGUCGAACGGAAACGAUGGGAGCUUGCUCCCAGGCGUCGAGUGGCGGACGGGUGAGUAACACAUAGGAAUCUGCCCAGUAGCGGGGGACAACUUGGGGAAACUCAAGCUAAUACCGCAUACGCCCUACGGGGGAAAGCAGGGGAUCUUCGGACCUUGCACUAUUGGAUGAGCCUAAGUCGGAUUAGCUUGUUGGUGGGGUAAUGGCCUACCAAGGCGACGAUCUUUAGCUGGUCUGAGAGGACGAUC
rnacentral:rRNA from 1 species